CAGAGAAUAGAGCUGCAAACUAUUCCAACAGCUAGGAUGAACCUCAGUUUCAUUUUAUCCUGAAUCAGAAAUUUGGAAAGCAGAAGGGCUAGCUCUCUGAAAGUGACCUGAGUCCGGUUGCCAGAAUAUCUGUUUCUUUCAAGCUUACCUUCAUCAAUAUUUUAUUACCAGAAUGAGAAGAAAUGAGCCUUAAUUGGACUUUUUUCCUCCUUUUCCCAUUUUCUUUAGAUGGACCCAGUGUUGACAUGGAAAAGUCUGCAGGGCCUUAAACAGUAAAAGCAUAAUUCCUAGAUUACACAGCAUUCCUUCCUGGAAAUGUUUGGAUGAUUACAGUUGUAUGAACCAUGUUAUCAGCAACCUAAAAUCAGCAGUCUUUAAAGUGGCAGAAAAGAAUGUCCGCAUACUGUAUUCUGCACUGUUUUGACUGUUGAGCUCCAUUCUGCCUCAGUAGGAUGUUUUGCUGCCUUUACAGAUUCACAAGUUAAGGUGAGCAAUUGCACAUAGACAUGCCAACACACUUUCAAAUAUCAGUGAAAUAUUAAGGGAAAUAACAGUAUGUGUUCCUUGAUAAGACAGUAUGCCAAGAAUGGAGCAUUAUGAAAGAAAGAAAGAAAGAAAGAAAGAAAGAAAGAAAGAAAGAAAGAA